rnacentral:misc_RNA from 1 species
GACAACGAUUCCGAGAUAACCCACAAGGAGCGCGAAAGCGACGUUAGUCGUGAGGCCCAACGGGCUUAGCCACCGACGUACGCGAUCAGCGCCCGGAGUCUGCCCAAAGGACCGGACUGGCUCACUAGAGGAAGCACGACCCGCCCGGACCCGCUUUAUGAGCGUGGAAGCGCAGCGACUCAUGAACACAAUCGCAAGACAUUGCUCAAAGAGUUUCUCGCGUCGUCUGAAGCACACUGUGUCGUUAUGACCUGGGAGAAGGUUAAACGACAGA